AACAAAAGCCCACUGAAAUUGUUAGCUUAUAUGCUACUGUUUAAUGUGAUUGGCUGUCCAAAAGCUUCAUCUGCUCUGCUAAGAUAGUGGAGUUGAAAUAGAUCGUAUAAUGGUAUGGAACUAUUUUAGCAUUAUGUCUUCAUGUUUGAAGACUACAAAUGAAACCAAAAAAUGGUCUGUGUAGCUAGACCAUUGAUGAUAAUCCCUUUGACUUUUAUCUUAAGUCUUCGUUUUUGUUACUAUAAAUACAUUUUAAAGCAUUGAGAAAGGAGCUUCGUGUAUCUCUAAAAAUAGGAGAUUUGACAUGACUUUGUUUUACAGUAUUAAGGAUUUCUUUCUUGUUGGCUUAACACAGACUUACUAUUAUUUUCCGUAUUUGUUCUGAUUUAAUUCUUUUUCAGACAUGCAGAAACAUUGUAGCUUGGGAAGUUUUGAUGGCCUUUUCCUUUGAUCCCCAAUCAAUGCUUUUUUGAAGAGCUGUAUUUUAUUUUGGUUUGCUCUAGGGUUUUAUCCAGUUAGUUUUCUUCAAAGUAAUUUUUGCACUUGUUAGACAAGGUUGAAUCUGCAUCUAUUUCUUUACCUUCUGUGGUUGUGGUUUUUUGUUAGUGUGAAAUAUUACAUAAGUUAAUGUAUUUCAAUAUUUUUUAUUUUAAAAGUUGAUCCUCCAAAUAUGAUGUUUUAGGUCCUCUUUUGCAUUAUUCUACAGCAGAUUGGAAGGAACAAAAAUCCAACCCUUGGCAGCACAGACCUUUAGGAAAGCAGGAACCCAAUCCAGGAAUGGGACCUGUUCUGAGUAAAGUCACAAUACUUGUACCAGCCGGGUUAAAAUAGGAGAAAACCCUUAAAAAGGAACCUAAACAUGAGGAUUCCUCAACAGCGAGACAGUGUUAUCAGUGUUUAAAAGUAUGGUUUAAUGCUCACUGAUACAGUGAACUUUCCCAGUGACUUCCAGCUUUCUUUGUGGAAGAACCACCAAUAUUUUGCUGUGAUAUUGUGUGCUUCUGUUGGAAUAAUAGGUCUUUUUAUUAUUCCAUCAGUUUCCAAAUUUCUAACAAGCAAGAUUUGAUCAGUUUCACCUAAAACUGGAAUCACAGAAUCAUUUGAGUUGGAAGGGAUCCUUAAAGAUCGCCUAGUCCAACUCCCCUGCAAUGAACAGGGACAUCAGGGUGCUAGAUCAGGGUGCUCAGAGCCCCAUCCAGCCUGACCUUGAGUGUCUCCAAGGAUGGGGCAUCCACCACCUCUCUGGGCAACCUGUUCCAGUGCCUCACCACCCGUACUGUAAGACACUUUGUUAUAUCCAAUCUAUACCUGCAGUAAGGUAAGCUCUGAAGGGAUGACCUAUGUCUCUGAAUAUCAUGGCUUAAACAAACCAAUCCUCAGUUACAUCCAGUUAUGUCUAUGAUAAUUUACCACAGAUAUCAUGAAUAUCAGGAUAGAAUUAGUAAGCCAGCUGGCAAUGAAUGCCUUCUUUGUUGGUCUUCUUCAGUUCUAAGUCCACUGAUUGAGGCUGAGGGCUGGGGUUUUUGCUGGAGGGAUCUAUGGCAGCAGCACUGACUCUGGUCUAAGCAAGUUCUGGUGUUUCUUGCACUGGAGCAAGAAACCGGGGUAAUCUGAUGUUUUCUGUUUUCAUUCUUUGAAUGUUAAGAAUUUCAGCUCUCUGUAAUGGCUUGACACAGAAGGGCAAAGGUUGUGAGACAGAAACUAAGUGCUACACUACAAACCAAGUCAGCCUCAGACAGCUGAGAUACAGGAUGCCACACUGGGCAAUUAAUAGCCAGACCCAAAAUGUUAAAAACCUGAUCUAAAUGUUCCACCAUUACUGAGGUGAGUUGGAAGGGACCUUUAAAGAUUCUCUAGUCCAACCCUUCUGCCUUGGGCAGGGACAUGUUUCUCUAGGUCAGGUUGCUCAAAGCCCCAUCCCGCUUGUCCUCAUCCUGUGGGUGACAGUCACAUCCUACAGGAGAUCAUCUAACUUAGAUGUUCAGAGAAUGUUGCUGUCUCUACAAUUUCAAAAGUGUUUCUUGAUCGGAGAGUGUGUUGGUUUAGUAGGUGAUUUGGAGAACUUAAUGUAGAAGGUAUUUUUUCUUAUUAUGAUCUUGGUUAUGCAUAGAUGGAGCUAAGAAUUUGGUAAAGCAGUCAUCCUGAUCAGCAUUUAUAUUGCUUUAUCCUGUUAGUUCUUUGUAUAACUUGAUGUCUAGAGAGGGAAAAGAGCCUUAAUCAAAGCAUACACCAACAAUUUGAAGGUCAAAGUUCUACUCCAUUUCAGUUGACUUUUAGCAGCCUGGAGAACAUACCUAACUGUGCGUAGUUCACUAAAAUUGAUGAGUUUCUUUUCGAAAUGUCUACAGAAUCUAUUAAAUCAUAGUCAAUCUUCUUGUCCCGCAUAACUUCCUGCAUUUAUGAUGUGAAACUUUAUAUAUGAUGAGGCUCUACCACAAUCAUUGCCUAAGUGUAACUGUGUCCUUCAGUAAUUGAUAACUUUGUUAUUUUUCCUUUUAGUCUCAUCAAUUGUAACUGAAUAAAUUCCAGACUCAGAUACUUAAAUUUUUCCAUUGUUUUUUUUUUCUUUUUAGAUAAAAGUUGAUUCACUUUAUGUCUCAAAGAUCCUAGUUAUCCACUAGCUGCUGGGGUGUAUGUUGGCAUUGCUAUAUCAGAGAAGCACGUGACGUUGCAUGUCACCACAUAUCUGCCAGUACUUUCUAGC
rnacentral:lncRNA from 1 species